rnacentral:rRNA from 1 species
UAACACAUGCAAGUCGAGGGGCAGCACAAGGAGCAAUCUGAGGUGGCGACCGGCGCACGGGUGAGUAACACGUAUGCAACCUGCCUGUAAGCGGGGAAUAACCCGUUGAAAGACGGACUAAUACCGCAUAAUACUAAAUUACUGCAUGGUAAUUUAUUUAACAUUUAUGGCUUACAGAUGGGCAUGCGCACGAUUAGCUAGUUGGAGAGGUAACGGCUCCCCAAGGCAACGAUCAUUAGGGGUUCUGAGAGGAAGGUCCCCCACACUGGUACUGAGACACGGACCAGACUCCUACGGGAGGCAGCAGUGAGGAAUAUUGGUCAAUGGACGAGAGUCUGAACCAGCCAAGUCGCGUGCAGGAAGAAUGUCCCUAUGGAUUGUAAACUGCUUUUGCAGGGGGAAUAAAGUGCAUCACGUGUGAUGUUUUGUAUGUACUCUGCGAAUAAGGAUCGGCUAACUCCGUGCCAGCCGCGGC